ACUCCUACGGGAGGCAGCAGUCGGGGAAUAUUGGACAAUGGGCGAAAGCCUGAUCCAGCAAUACCGCGUGUGUGAAGAAGGCCUUCGGGUUGUAAAGCACUUUCAGUGGGGAGGAAAGCUCCAUGGUGAAUAGCCUUGGAGUUUGACAUUACCCACAGAAGAAGCACCGGCUAACUCUGUGCCAGCAGCCGCGGUAAUACAGAGGGUGCAAGCGUUAAUCGGAAUUACUGGGCGUAAAGCGCGCGUAGGCGGAUUAUUAAGUCAGAUGUGAAAUCCUCGGGCUCAACCUGGGAACUGCAUUUGAUACUGAUAAUCUUGAAUGUUGUAGAGGAAAGCGGAAUUCCCGGUGUAGCGGUGAAAUGCAUAGAUAUCGGGAGGAACACCAGUGGCGAAGGCGGCUUUCUGGGCAAACAUUGACGCUGAGGUGCGAAAGCGUGGGUAGCAAACAGGAUUAGAUACCCUGGUAGGUCAGU
rnacentral:rRNA from 1 species